ensembl:snRNA U6 U6 spliceosomal RNA
GUGCUUGUUUCGGCAGCACAUAAACUAAAAUUGGAACGAUACAGAGAAGAAGACCAGCAUAGCCCCCGCACAAGGAUGACAUGCAAAUUCGUGAAGCAUUCCAUAUCUUU